rnacentral:rRNA from 1 species
UACGUAGGGGGCGAGCGUUGUCCGGAUUUACUGGGCGUAAAGGGUGAGUAGGCGGUUAUAUAUGUCAGGUGUAUAAAGCUAUGGCUUAACCAUAGUAAGCACUUGAAACUGUAUGACUUGAGUGCAGGAGAGGUAAGCGGAAUUCCUAGUGUAGCGGUGAAAUGCGUAGAUAUUAGGAGGAACACCGGUGGCGAAGGCGGCUUACUGGACUGUAACUGACGCUGAGUCACGAAAGCGUGGGUAGCAAACAGGAUUAGAUACCCUGGUAGU